AUUGAACGCUGGCGGCAGGCCUAACACAUGCAAGUCGAACGAGCGGCGGACGGGGGAGUAAUGUCUGGGAAACUGCCUGAUAGGGGGGGGGAACUACUGGAAACGGUGGCGAAAACCGCAUACCCUCUGAUAUGCCCAGAGGGGAUUAGCUAGUAGGUGGGGUAACGGCUCACCUGGGCGACGAUCCCUAGCUGGGCUGAGAGGAUGACCAGCCACACUGGAACUGAGACACGGUCCAGACUCCUACGGGAGGCAGCAGUGGGGAAUAUUGCACAAUGGGCGCAAGCCUGAUGCAGCCAUGCCGCGUGUGUGAAGAAGGCCUUCGGGUUGUAAAGCACUUUCAGCGGGGAGGCGUUACCCGCAGAAGAAGCACCGGCUAACUCCGUGCCAGCAGCCGCGGUAAUUC
rnacentral:rRNA from 1 species